CUCUCUCUCUCUCUCUCUCUCUCUCUCUCUCUCUGUGUGUGUGUGUGUGUGUGUGUGUGUGUCUCCCUGCCUCUGCUUCACCUAGUGUUGGGGUCCCAGGCAGCUUGGACUCCAGGACAUUUGUAUUAAUGUUAGUAGUGGUUGAAUAUGUGCAGUUCUGGGAAGAACUGUACACUUCCUUUUCUUUAAAAACAUUUAAAUGUAUAUGGAAGUUUUGCUUGAAUGUAUAGGCACCACGUGUGUCUAAUGCCAGCAGAAACCAGAAGAGGGCAUCAGAUUCCCCUGAAACUGGAGUUUCAGAUGUGAGCCACUAUGUGGGCACUGAGAGUCCAGCCCAGGUCCUCUGCAAGAAAGCCAGUGCUCUUCUGCCCCACCAUCCAUCUCUCCCUCCCUUCCUCUCUCUGUCCCUCCUCCCUUCUUCCUUCCUUUCUUCCUUUUUUUCUAAGUCUUCCCUUUCUACUGUUUAUAUUUAGAAAACAAAUUCAUUUCUGAAGACUCACUAUCUUCCUCAAACUCAUGGAGAUCUCCCAGGUGCUGGGUUCCAGACAAGUACCGAAUAUGUGAAGGUCAACAGCACUGGACCGGAGGCAUCUGGAGAGAUACUGUCCCCCAGGCACAGCGCUUCUGAGAGGUAGGAAGCCAUGUCUGAAUGCCAACUCUCAUUUUUUACAUGUUCGGGUUCUGUAGCAUGUGUCGGUCUUGAACUCCCAGUCUUCCUGUGGUUGCAAAGAGUUAAAAGGUGAAUGAAAACCCCUUAGCAACUCUGACCCAGGAGAACACCCACCUGCACUGCCCUGCAGCCUGGAAGAACAACACUGAAUGCAGGACUUGAGAGAACCUAGAUCAGAAGGCUGCUUGGGUAGGGACUUAGAGUAAUACAGAACUUUCUGGAUGGCUCUGUAAAUCCUGACACGUACUAACUUUGGAUAGUUCAGCAUAUCUCUGCCCUGAAGCACAUGACCUGUCUGUCUGUCUGUCUGAUGUUGAAGUGCAGACUGGGCUUCUGCAUCUCAUCCGGCCUUUGCUGCCCCUGCUGGAACUGGGCUCAUUGAGGGGUGGCUGCUUUGCUCAACUGAAAAGAGCUAGAAUCAGGGUCUCGGCUUGGUUCCUUCCAUUCUGUCCAUGUCUUGCUUUUCAGACUUCAUAGAAGACUAUGGUAUAAGAACUCACCCAUCUAUCUGCUCAUCCAUUUGGAAACAAGUUUUUAAUGAGCACCUAUUUUGUGCUGGGCCCCUGGUCUGGGCAAAGAAAUCAACUGGCUAAUGAUCCCUAAAAAAGGAAAAGCAAAAGGGAAUGAAUGAGGGGGUAUGUGUAUACUGGCAUAUUCACUUUUAUCUAUUGAGACAGAGUCUUAAUGCCUAGGAUGGCCUGGAAUACCUGAGCUUAGGGUAUCCUCCCUGCUAAGUAGAUGGGCCUCCGUCUAUGCCUCUAUACAUAUUUUAAACUACUUAGAUGUGAUACAAUAGAAUGAAACAGCCUGUAGGAAAUCAGCAAGCCAGGCAUGGUGGUGCACGCCUUCAGUCUCAGCACUAGGCAUGCAGGGGCAGGCAGACCUCUGUGAGUUAAGGCCAGCAUGGUCUACACAGAGAAACCCUGUCACCCUGUCCUGAAAAAACUGAACCACCACCAGCAACAACAAAAAACACCAGCAAAUAUUUUCCCUUAUUAAUUCAGAAUAAAAAUACAGGUCAAGGUAAACCUUUGUGUGUGUGUGUGUGUGUGUGUGUGUGUGUUUAUUUUUUGAGACAUUGUCUUACUAUAUAGCUGUAGCUAGCCUGGAACUUGCUCUAUAGACCAGGCUGGCCUUAAACUCCACCUAUCUCUGCUGGUAUUAAAGGCAUGUGCCACUAUGCCUGCCCAAGAUAAUAUUUUAACUCCACUAAAAUGGCAUUUCUGAGGGAUUGGCACUGUCUAUAUCUUCCAUGUUUACAUUAUUCUAAGUUAUAAUGGUGAUACAUUGGCAAUCAGAAUAAAACAAAUAAGGUCAAAUAAUAGGAAUUUUAUUUUUAUUUAUUCAGGCUCUUUGAAAUGGGGUCUUACUUUGUAGCUGAGCCUGGCCUC
rnacentral:lncRNA from 1 species